rnacentral:rRNA from 1 species
CAGCCGCCGCGGUAAUACGUAGGGUGCGAGCGUUAAUUGGAAUUACUGGGCGUAAAGCGUGCGCAGGCGGUUGUGUAAGACAGGUGUGAAAUCCCCGGGCUUAACCUGGGAACUGCGCUUGUGACUGCACAGCUAGAGUAUGGCAGAGGGUGGUGGAAUUCCACGUGUAGCAGUGAAAUGCGUAGAGAUGUGGAGGAACACCGAUGGCGAAGGCAGCCCCCUGGGCCAAUACUGACGCUCAUGCACGAAAGCGUGGGGAGCAAACAGGAUUAGAUACCCGAGUAGUCCCUGUCUCUUAUAC